rnacentral:misc_RNA from 1 species
GAUGAAGAACGCAGCGAAAUGCGAUAAGUAGUGUGAAUUGCAGAAUUCAGUGAAUCAUCGAAUCUAUGAACGCACAUUGCGCCCCUUGGUAUUCCAUGGGGCAUGCCUGUUCGAGCGUCAUUUGUACCUUCAAGCUUUGCUUGGUGUUGGGUGUUUGUCCCUCGGGACUCGCCUUAAAGUCAUUGGCAGCCAGUGUUUUGGUUUUGAAGCGCAGCACAAGUCGCGAUUCAAGGCUAUCCGCCCGCUUCCACAAGCCUUUUUCACUUUUGACCUCGGAUCAGGUAGGGAUACCCGCUGAACUUAAGCAUAUCAAUAAGCGGAGGA